rnacentral:rRNA from 1 species
GACGAACGCUGGCGGCGUGCUUAACACAUGCAAGUCGAACGGAAAGGCCUGUCUGUUGUGGGGUGCUCGAGUGGCGAUCGUGUGAGUAACACGUGUGUAACCUGCCCUGUGCGUGGGGCUAUCUGUAGGAAACUGGGGCUAAUACCGGAUAGGAGCUGUGGUGGCAUGGUGGGGGUUGGAAAGUUUCGGCGGUUGUUGAUGGACUCGUGGCUUAGCAGCUUGUUGGUGGGGUAUGGGCUUAUCAAGGCUUUGACGGGUAGCCGGCCUGAGAGGGUGACCGGCGACAUUGGGACUGAGAUACGACCGAGACUCCACAGGGAGGCAGCAGUGGGGAAGAUUGCACAAUGGGCGCAAGCCUCAUGCAGCACAGCCGCGUGCGGGAUGACGGCCUUCGGGUUGUAAGAAAAAAUCGCUUGUGACGAAGCGUGAGUGACGGUAAUGGGUAAAGAAGCACCGGCUAACUACGUG